rnacentral:rRNA from 1 species
GGGCCCGCACAAGCAGUGGAGUAUGUGGUUUAAUUCGACGCAACGCGAAAAACCUUACCAGGUCUUGACAUCCAACUAACGAGGUAGAGAUACGUUAGGUGCCCUUCGGGGAAAGUUGAGACAGGUGGUGCAUGGUUGUCGUCAGCUCGUGUCGUGAGAUGUUUGGUUAAGUCCAGCAACGAGCGCAACCCCUAUUGUCAGUUGCUACGCAAGAGCACUCUGGCGAGACUGCCGAUGUAAAUCGGAGGAAGGUGGGGAUGACGUCAAAUCAUCAUGCCCUUUAUGACCUGGGCUACACACGUACUACAAUGGCGGUUAACAGAGGGGAGCGAAGGAGCGAUCCGGAGCAAAUCCUCAAAAGCCGUCUCAGUUCAGAUUGCAGGCUGCAACUCGCCUGCAUGAAGUCGGAAUUGCUAGUAAUCGCGAAUCAGCAUGUCGCGGUGAAUACGUUCCCGGGCCUU